GGCGAGGUAAGAGCUCACCAGCGGCAUGGCGACUUGUCCGCUCUGUAAACCCCACUCGGUGCAAGAUUGAUAGGAAAGCACAUGUGGCGGCCCGUCACGCUUUCGGGUAAUCGCUUGAGCCCCAUGGCAACCUGGGGCCUAGACAGAUGAUCGUCCAAUACAGAACUCGGCUUACAGACGCCGCUCGCAA
rnacentral:RNase_P_RNA from 1 species